rnacentral:lncRNA from 1 species
GUUUGCGACAAAGAUUUUUUGCCUUUUAUUUCUCGUUCUUUGAAAGUGAAUGGUGAGAUAUUCUUACGAUGUUGGGAUGGUUGGUCAGGGAUAUUUCAGGUGGGUUUUUGGUCUGGGUUUGGGGUGGAUAUGUAUAUAUAGAUAUAUAUAAAAAGGAUAUACAGAAAGUAUAUAAAAGAUAUACAAAAAGGAUAUACAGAAAGUAUACAAG